rnacentral:rRNA from 1 species
CCUACGGGUGGCAGCAGUGGGGAAUAUUGGACAAUGGGGGGAACCCUGAUCCAGCCAUGCCGCGUGUGUGAAGAAGGCCCUCGGGUUGUAAAGCACUUUCAGUGAGGAAGAACGCCUGGUGGUUAAUACCCAUCAGGAAAGACAUCACUCACAGAAGAAGCACCGGCUAACUCCGUGCCAGCAGCCGCGGUAAUACGGAGGGUGCGAGCGUUAAUCGGAAUUACUGGGCGUAAAGCGCGCGUAGGUGGCUUGAUAAGCCGGUUGUGAAAGCCCCGGGCUCAACCUGGGAACGGCAUCCGGAACUGUCAAGCUAGAGUGCAGGAGAGGAAGGUAGAAUUCCCGGUGUAGCGGUGAAAUGCGUAGAGAUCGGGAGGAAUACCAGUGGCGAAGGCGGCCUUCUGGACUGACACUGACACUGAGGUGCGAAGCGUGGGUAGCAAACAGGAUUAGAUACCCCAGUAGUC